AGCCACUCAAAAUGCGAGCUUCUGGUCCUGACAUUUCACGGGGAAAGGAAGGCUCAUGAACCGACUGAGACAUGGUUGAGCGGCUAAGAUUUCUGUAGCUAUGAUGCUGCCAUCCAGGCCGACUUCAGACUUGGGAAGUUUCCAUGGAAGAAUAUUUCUCAGCCCUCCGUUCUCAAGACAGAUGAGUGCUUUAGAAAGAGGACUCUGCAGCGGUGAGGAGGAUGGAAUGACAGGCAAAGCACGCAGGACCAGGAGAUGGCUUCGUUCCCUCAAUCACUCAUCCAAAGACGUUUAAUGAGCACCUAUUGUGUGUCAGGCAUUGUACCGGGCAAUGGGGAUAUCGUAGUCAGUAAUAAGUGAGGAGAGAUGAGUUCAUUUGUGAGAGGCUCUGACCAGUGGAAUCAGAGGAAGGGAGUUCCCCUGGGUGGGCCAGGUUCAAAGACAUUUUGGAAGUAGAAUCUGCAGAACAUGAUGAUCUUUUGGAAACAGGGCAGGGACGUGAAUGAGCACGUAAUGUCCCCAUGGGUUUGUCUUUCCGAAGGUUUAAAAUCCUCAAGAAUAAGGAACAUAGGCAUGUGUCGUAACGGUCUCCACAGUGGGGGAGUAUUAUGUUAGUGCACCUGCAUGUUAACUCUGCUCAUGAAGGGGCCACGUCUUCACCACCACAAAGCCUCAAGCAUGCAUAUCUGGUCCCUCCAACCCCCUCCCUAUUGAGGUGCAAUAAAGGCCCAUGUUUCUCCUAGUAUGGGAACAGAACU
rnacentral:lncRNA from 10 species